AUUCUUUUAGUAUAAUAAUUAUUCUUAACUUCCAAUUAAGAGAUCCUGAUAGGAAAGAAUA
rnacentral:tRNA from 1 species